AUAUGCAGUACAGGUACUGUACAUUCUUUUGGUGUGCUGUGAAAUCAAGUACUUUUAAUAACGUCGGUUCAAAGAAUGGGAGAUGAUUAAAAUGAAUUCCGAGGUUAGCAUGAUGACAUUCUACAGGCCAAGCAAAAUGAAAGCAAAACGAUUUGGUGUUUUUUAUGCACCAGCCUGAGUUUGGCGAGGACCGGAUGUUCCCUCAGGGAGUUGUCAACGACGUACUGCAGCACCGCAUCGUCCUUUCCGCCGCUGUGACUCUUCCCCACGUACGCGGACUUCCCCGCACCUUCAAGACAACCACGGGGUCAUUGCCCCCAAGUGACACCCGGCGUCCUCCUUGAUACCUGUCAGUAGAAGAGACAGUCCCACGCAGACCAGACAUCUGGCGUGUGCAGACAUUUUCCACCCGCUCAUGGUUGGUUGUUUUUGGGGAACCAAAUGAGACUUUGACCUUUCACAGAGACGACAAGGGAAGGGGAGGAUGAAAAGGAGGACUUCUACCAGCCAAUCAACGCAAAGCAAGGAAAUGACAUGACGCCAGCGAUGGAGAGACCAACAGGGGCGAUGACAGGGAAGGCCGUCCUCAACGCGGGGGCAAGCCCGCCAAAGGAGGCGGGGCCAGAGCGAGAGAAAAGCGACCAGUCCAGGGUAUACCCCGCCUCUCGCCCUAAGACGCCUGGGAUAGGCUCCGGCAUACCCCCCCACCCUAAAACAGACCACAGUGCUGCCAACUUCCUCCUCUAUUUCUCACCGCCACAUUUUUUCACACGGAGAAGAAGAAUAAAGCUGUGUCCACAUCUCAUUUCCUCCCACGGGUCGGGACCAUCACUCUGGACUGGCCAGCGUCACCAGGGGGCGAGCAGAGACGGGAACUCGAUGGUAAUGUGAUUAGGCUCCCAGUCAAUAUGGCUGCAUACACAGCAGUAUGUUAACCAACCUAAUUAUGA